rnacentral:tRNA from 1 species
GGGGGUGUGGCUCCGUGGUAGAGCACUUGCCUAUCAUGCAUGAGACCCUGGGUCCCAUCCCCA